rnacentral:rRNA from 1 species
UACAGAGGUCUCAAGCGUUGUUCGGAUUCAUUGGGCGUAAAGGGUGCGUAGGCGGCGCGGUAAGUCGAGUGUGAAAUCUCGGAGCUUAACUUCGAAACUGCAUUCGAUACUGCCGUGCUUGAGGACUGGAGAGGAGACUGGAAUUUACGGUGUAGCGGUGAAAUGCGUAGAUAUCGUAAGGAAGACCAGUGGCGAAGGCGGGUCUCUGGACAGUUCCUGACGCUGAGGCACGAAGGCCAGGAGAGCAAACGGG